rnacentral:rRNA from 1 species
UAGGGAAUCUUCCGCAAUGGGCGAAAGCCUGACGGAGCAACGCCGCGUGAGUGAUGAAGGUCUUCGGAUUGUAAAACUCUGUUAUUAGGGAAGAACAAAUGUGUAAGUAACUAUGCACAUCUUGACGGUACCUAAUCAGAA